GUCCAUGCCGUAAACGAUGGGUACUAGGUGUUGGAGGAUUCUACCCCUUCAGUGCCGCAGCUAACGCAUUAAGUACCCCACCUGGGGAGUACGAUCGCAAGGUUGAAACUCAAAGGAAUUGACGGGGGCCCGCACAAGCGGUGGAGCAUGUGGUUUAAUUCGAUGCAACGCGAAGAACCUUACCUGGACUUGACAUGCAGGGGACAGGUGUAGAAAUACAUCCUUCUUCGGACUCCUGUACAGGUGCUGCAUGGCUGUCGUCAGCUCGUGUCGUGAAAUGUUAGGUUAAGUCCUGCAACGAGCGCAACCCCUGUCUUUAGUUGCCAACAGGUUAUGCUGGGAACUCUAGAGAGACUGCCGGUGAUAAACCGGAGGAAGGUGGGGACGACGUCAAGUCAUCAUGGCCCUUACGUCCAGGGCUACACACGUGCUACAAUGGUCGGUACAAAGGGCUGCAAUACAGCGAUGUGGAGCGAAUCCCAAAAAGCCGGCCUCAGUUCGGAUCGUAGUCUGCAACUCGACUACGUGAAGUUGGAAUCGCUAGUAAUCGCGUAUCAGAACGACGCGGUGAAUACGUUCCCGGGCCUUGUACACACCGCCCGUCAAGUCAACCGAGUUGGUUGCACCCCAAGUCGCUGAGCUAACCUCUUCGGAGGAGGCAAGUGCCCAA
rnacentral:rRNA from 1 species